rnacentral:miRNA from 1 species
AGUGUUUAAUCUGUAAAAUGGA